GACGAACGCUGGCGGCGUGCUUAACACAUGCAAGUCGAACGGAAAGGCCCUGCUUUUGUGGGGUGCUCGAGUGGCGAACGGGUGAGUAACACGUGAGUAACCUGCCCUUGACUUUGGGAUAACUUCAGGAAGCUGGGGCUAAUACCGGAUAGGAGCUCCUGCUGCAUGGUGGGGGUUGGAAAGUUUCGGCGGUUGGGGAUGGACUCGCGGCUUAUCAGCUUGUUGGUGGGGUAGUGGCUUACCAAGGCUUUGACGGGUAGCCGGCCUGAGAGGGUGACCGGCCACAUUGGGACUGAGAUACGGCCCAGACUCCUACGGGAGGCAGCAGUGGGGAAUAUUGCACAAUGGGCGGAAGCCUGAUGCAGCAACGCCGCGUGCGGGAUGACGGCCUUCGGGUUGUAAACCGCUUUCGCCUGUGACGAAGCGUGAGUGACGGUAAUGGGUAAAGAAGCACCGGCUAACUACGUG
rnacentral:rRNA from 1 species